rnacentral:rRNA from 1 species
AGCAGCCGCGGUAAUUCCAGCUCCAAUAGCGUAUAUUAAAGUUGUUGCAGUUAAAAAGCUCGUAGUUGAAUUUCGGGGUUAGUAGGUUGGUCAUGCCUCUGGUAUGUACUGGUCUCACUGAUUCCUCCUUCCUGAUGAACCUUAAUGCCAUUUAUUUGGUGUUUUGGGGAAUUUGGACUGUUACUUUGAAAAAUUAGAGUGUUUAAAGCAAGCUAACGCUUGAAUACAUUAGCAUGGAAUAAUGAAAUAGGACGUUCGAUCCUAUUUUGUUGGUUUCUAGGAUUGACGUAAUGAUUAAUAGGGAUAGUUGGGGGCAUUAGUAUUCAAUUGUCAGAGGUGAAAUUCUUGGAUUUAUUGAAGACUAACUACUGCGAAAGCAUUUGCCAAGGAUGUUUUCAUUAAUCAAGAACGAAAGUUAGGGGAUCGAAGACGAUCAGAUACCGUCGUAGUCUUAACCAUAAACUAUGUCGACUAGGGAUCGGAUGAUGUUUAAUUUUUAAUGUACUCUAUUCGGCGCCGU